rnacentral:lncRNA from 1 species
GGGAUGUCAUGCUCCAGGGUAGAGGUGGGUGGAGUUGGAUGGGCUCCAGAUGAUGGCCUUCUCUCUGCCCAAGCCAGCGAUCUGUGCUUUCCCGUCUCUACCAAAAUCCGGAGGAGGAUGCUGAGAUCCGCAUCAACGCCUACCUGGCCCUGAUGAGAUGCCCUGGCGAAGAGGUGUUUGCCCAGGUGCGGCACACCCAGGCAAGCGAGCAGUCCACCCAGGUGGGCUCCUUUGUGUGGAGUCACCUGAUGCAGCUGCUGGAAACUGAUGACCCUCUGAAGCGAGCUCUCCAGGAGGCCCUCCCUGAGGACAUCCUGAGCCAGGAGUUCCAGCCAGAGACCUGGAAACACUCAUCCUAUUCUGAUGUCACCUUCCGCUCAGUGUCUGGCAGCCUGGGAAUGAACCUGGAGCGGACCCUCCUCUUUUCUCCAGCUUCCUUUCUCCCCCGUUUUGCCAUGACUAACCUGACCAUCCAUGCCCUAGGUCAUGGCUUCAACCUCCUGGAGCUUGGCCUCCGCUUGGAAAAUGCAGAGAAAAUCAUCCACAGGCUGUUGGGCGGGAAGUCAUUCUGGGGGCAGGAAGAGGAGAGAGAGGGCCAGCCGGAGAAGUCCUCAGAGCCAGACCCAGGGCCCUCAGCACAGGCAGCCAAACCUGACUGUCCAGAAGAAAGGUCCAGAAAGAUGAGAGACCUGCAGCAGAAGGUGGCCCGGAGGCACGCGGAGCGGCGGGCGCUGCAGUGUGAGCUGAGUGUGAAGGUGUUCGGGCACGAGCUGAGCUAUGUGAACUGUGGGGUGAUGGGGAGCCACAUGAAACGCCAGUCCUUGCACCUGGCCGAGCUGGCAGUCAAACUCCUGAAGGGGCAGGAGGUACAGGUGAACCGGAGGCUGAACCUGGCCAUGCAGGAGCUCACCUUCCCCACGGUGUCUGGCCUUCCAGCCCGGCUGACCCUAAAUGCCUCGGCUGCCAUCGGCGUCCGAGUCCGGGGGACUGCCGACUUCCAGCAGCACCUGGAUUUCUCCGUGAAUGGUUAUGUCAAGCCCAGUGCCCUGCUCCAGAUCUCAGCGCAGAUGGGCACAGUGGGCGCCCUGGGGCAGGCCGGGCUGCGGUGGGUGACCAGCGUCCGUGGCACUGCCAGCCUGGAUGGUGGGAUUGAGGCGAGGAAGGGCCGGGACCUCCACGUGCACCUGAACACCCCCGAGGAGGCUGUGGAGCUGCUCAGCUUCAGCUCCAAGCUGUAUCUCAUCACUGGGGAUGGCGUGAGGAGCCUCAGUGAUGUCCACAGCUCUUCUGGGGCCCAGUCCUGUACUGACGAGAAAGCGUCCCACACCUGGGGCUGGCAGCUGUGCACAGAAGUCACCUGGCCGGCAGCUGGCCAGCCCUACCUGCUCUCAGGGCCUGUGUCUGCGGCUGUGACACUGAAGAAGCAGGAUCGGGGCCUCCAGCGAUACCUUCUGGAAGCUGCCUAUACCUUCCACCCCCAGAAGGACAGCUGGCUCCCUCUGGAAGCUUCAGCUCACCUCUUCAUGGGCACGCCCGAGUCAGACGUGCCCAGGGACGUCGGGGUAGACGUGAGCUACAGCGCACCCCAGGGGAAGUUCCGGCUCAAGCUUCA